rnacentral:lncRNA from 1 species
CAUCCAUCUGCAUUACCUGGCAGCUGAUGAAAUGCUGCAUGUUCAUUAUUUUAUGACAGACUUAAAUUUUAUUUUUCAAAAUUUUGUUUUCAAGAAUUGUACAGUUGAAAGCACUUAAACUUCAGAUUAGGUUUCCUAGAAAUGAAAUUUUCCCCCCUUGGUUCUUUAAGAGGUGAGCCAGAGAUAGCACUAGUGAAAGAAUCUAGGUUUUGUAUUAAAUAGGGAAAAAAUAAAAACUGCUCUUGAUUUUUUUUUUUUUUAACUGGGAUUUAAAAGAUCUCACCAAAUGUUUUCUCUAUUCUGAUAAGGGUGCCAAAGGCUAUGGGAGCAACUUGUCCGGAUUAGAAGGCUGAUUGUUUGCACUCUUGUUUAGCUUUGUUCCUUAAUGUGGACCAGAGUGUCAGGGGGUCUUCUGUGAAAGAAGCUGAGAAGAGCAGAGAUGUGAGGUGGGGCCUGGAGGAAGAAGCAGGCUCUGAGCAGUAGGAAAAACAGAGAAGAUCUGCAGGAUAUUGUCAUCCAAAACUUCAGCACCAUUAGAAGACCGUUGCAAUUAGGUUAUAUGACCAGUCUUGCUUGUUUAACCAGGAGUAUGUUGACUAGUGCUCCUUUGAACUCUUGACUACAGGCACCUUGAGAAAAAAGCAUAAUGCUGGAAAUUAAAGUUCUCCCAUGGGACAAAAUGGCAGAAUGAGCUUUCUUACCUUUCCAGCUCUGUUCUGGAGGGACCACCAAGGUGAGAUGUCAUUUUAAUCUCUGGCCAUAUUAUUUUCUUGGCCUUUCUGCAGAAACUGUCAACAAGGGUGCUAACGACUGCUGUUAUGUAAAGGAAUAGGAAAAUAUGCA